CUGAUCAUCAAAUCCGACGGAUUGAAGAAGAACCAUUGUUCGUUUCUAGUUUGCAACACCUGGGUAAUUCAUUUCGACCCUAGUCAAUUGCGACCUGAGUUCGCAAUCGUCUGGAUAGUCAUGACCUGGCCAGAUUUGAGUCUGGUCGAUGGAAUUCGCAGGUUUGGAUCGACUACGUCUGGAUAUUGCGAGGGUGAUUUGGGUCUAAUUCUUGUUCGAGUUUGGAUCUGUUUUUUUGGCACCUGAUUGAGUAAUUUUCUUUUUGAGUUAGAAGAAGCCCCAAACUUUGGCCUCUCUGGCAAUAUGUCACAAAAUCCACUAGCUACGUGGUCUGUAGUUUCAAUGAUAUCUCAGUAACCAUAAAGAUGCAUACCAUCUCAGUAACUACAAAUGUGCAGCUUCAACUUUAUCACCUUCUCACCGAAUGUAAUUAAGCAAUUUUAAUUAGUUUCAAAUCCAUUCUCUCUUAUAAAGGUCUUUCAAUGAUUGUCUACAUUCUGCCACUUUUCUCCCAAAACAACAUAAAAGACAACACAAUAAUUUAGCAUCACAUUCAGUAUUACAUUGGUUAGAUCCA